CAAUAAUUUAUUUACCCAGUUCGAUCAAACGAUCUACUCUGAAGAAGAGAGAAGCUUCCUGAUUUAUUAUACUUCUAAAAGUUGUAACAAUAGAUUACAAAAGAGUUAUAAGAAAAUAGUUACCCAAAUUUCUAAGAACAAACACUAUUUUAUAUCAAAGUGUUUAUGAAUCUGCCUAACUCUAUAUAUAAAUCAUACAAGCUCAAUGUGUGUAAAAGUGUUUUUCCAUCCCCCUUAGAUAUCUCUAUGGAUUUUUCAGAUUUCAAGAACACACUCUUAGUAAUUACUCUCGCCUCUCUAAGAUUACCAUUAAGAUUCUAAAACCUUUUUUGUCCUCAACUUUUAAGUUCUAAUGGUUUUGAAAACAAGAAUGAUAGAGAUACACAUUUAUAACCGUUGAAACCCAACAUAUACAUAACAAGUCCAAAACGUAACCAUUAACGAAUGGAUUAACGAAUCAAAACAACAAAGUCUAAUACACGUGAAUCGAGAAUACCAUACCUGAGAUCUAACCGAACGAAUCAACUGUCGAACCUAGAGCCACUAUCGUGUCGCCGCCACCGACUCUGCCUAGAAGCUGAUUUCUAAUUCUGCCAUCUCAAAA
rnacentral:lncRNA from 1 species